UGAACUUUACCUGUGCUCACAGAAAAGGACAGAAGUUGGUAUUUUUCAGAAGCCCUUGCCUUUGGCUGUAGCUUGAGGUUGAGAGAUGGAGUCCCUCAUUAUCCUCUGGCCCUCUAAAGAAUAUUUCUCUCUCUGAAGUCCAACGCAGAAGUUUUCAAUGCAUUCCGAAGAGGCAUGUGAUAGCAGGGAGACAUUUUGGUGGUGCUUGGCGUUGGCUUUAAAAAGAAGAAUGGAGUAGAACUUUGAACACAUGUUGGAGCCCCACGCUUUUAUCAGUCACAUCUAUAGAUUCAUUUUAUCAACGUCCAAGAAACGUCUUUCCUGCCAGUUUAGGUCGACUGCAGCAUCUACCCCUGAUGCCUACCAUCACACCAGUGUCUUGAUUUCUUGGCCUUGCUCUUCCAAGAAUCAAAUUCCCAAAUAAAUUUCUCAAGAAUGAACUUUUGUCUUAGCAUCUGCUUUUGGGAAAUCUCAGGCCCAGCUACAUCAAACUUACUAUCACUUAUGAAAUGGGUUACCAUUUCAAAAAAAUCAUGUGGUUACAUUAAGAACAAAUGUAAAAUUUUAUAGUAACUUGUUUAUAAGUCUA
rnacentral:lncRNA from 1 species